rnacentral:rRNA from 1 species
UACGUAGGGUGCAAGCGUUAUCCGGAAUUAUUGGGCGUAAAGAGCUCGUAGGCGGUUUGUCGCGUCUGCCGUGAAAAGUCCGGGGGCUCAACUCCGGAUCUGCGGUGGGUACGGGCAGACUAGAGUGAUGUAGGGGGAGACUGGAAUUCCUGGUGUAGCGGUGAAAUGCGCAGAUAUCAGGAGGAACACCGAUGGCGAAGGCAGGUCUCUGGGCAUUAACUGACGCUGAGGAGCGAAAGCAUGGGGGAGCGAACAGG